rnacentral:tRNA from 1 species
GUGCCCGUGUUGUAGUGGCAGCAUCCAACACUGUGAAUGUUGUGGCGAGGGUUCGAUUCCCCCGGGCACC